UACGUAGGGUCCGAGCGUUAAUCGGAAUUACUGGGCGUAAAGCGUGCGCAGGCGGUUUUGUAAGCCAGAUGUGAAAGCCCCGGGCUUAACCUGGGAAUGGCAUUUGGGACUGCAAGGCUGGAGUACGGCAGAGGGAGGUGGAAUUCCAGGUGUAGCAGUGAAAUGCGUAGAUAUCUGGAGGAAUACCGGUGGCGAAGGCGGCAUCCUGGACCGACAUUGACGCUGAGGAGCGAAAGCUAGGGGAGCAAACGGG
rnacentral:rRNA from 1 species